GCUACUGCCAUCAGAGUUCGAUUUAGCCAUGUUAGUCGAGGGUGCUUCUUCUUCGGAAGAAGUAACCCGGCGGACGGCUCAGUAACACGUGGAUAACUUGCCCUUGGGUCUGGGAUAACCCCUGAGAAAUUGGGGACAAUACCAGAUAGGGCAUCGAUAGCUGGAAUGCGCGAUGUCCAAAAGCUGAGGCGCCCAAGGAUAGGUCUGCGGCCGAUUAGGUUGUUGUUGAUGUAAUGGAUCAACAAGCCUGCAAUCGGUACGGGUUGUGAGAGCAAGAGCCCGGAUAUGGGUUCUGAGAAAAGAACCCAGGUCCUACGGGACGCAUCAGGCGCGAAAACUUACAAUGUGCGAAAGCACGAUAAGGGAACUCUGAGUGCCUCCUAUGGAGGCUGUUCAGGUGUCUAAAAAGCACUUGAAGUAAGGGCUGGGUAAGACCGGUGCCAGCCGCCGCGGUAACACCGGCAGCCCAAGUGGUAGCCACGAUUAUUGGGUCUAAAGCGUCCGUAGCCGGCCAGGUAAGUUCUUUGGGAAAUUUAACCGCUCAACGGUUAAGCUUUCAGGGAAUACUGCUUGGCUUGGGACCGGGAGAGGUCAGAGGUACUUCAAGGGUAGGGGUGAAAUCCGUUAAUCCUUGAGGGACCACCAGUAGCGAAGGCGUCUGACCAGACCGGGUCCGACGGUGAGGGACGAAGGCUAGGGUCGCGAACCGGAUUACAUACCCGGGUGAUCCUAGCUGUAAACGAUGCGGGCCAGGUGUUGGCAUUACUGCGA
rnacentral:rRNA from 1 species